UGCAAAGUCGCUGCCGGGACAACAACGCAUCAUUUCCACCGCUGGGUGACGUCAUUCCGGCGCGCCAGCAGGGCUACAUCCGGGUUUCGGCUGGAGGACUCCUCAAAGGUUUUCCGCCUGUGGAUGAAACCUGUGUGUACCGCAAUCGCUGAACGAGGUGCAGCUGUGAAGUGUCAGUCAUAAAGGCCGCAGCCUUCCAGUGCCUCAGAAGCUGCUCAG